rnacentral:lncRNA from 1 species
AUGCCGCGGCCCGCGUGCGCCCGCUCCGGGGACUGCGCCUGCGCGGCCGGCCCUCACGGAGCCCGGGGAAGGUUGCGCCUGCGCAGUCGGCCCACUCCGGCCCGGGGGCGGGACUGCGCCUGCGCAGUCGGCCCAACCCAGCCCUGGGGGCGGGGCGACGCCUGUGGAAUCGCCCCUUCAGCGGCGCCUCGGCACCUAGAGCCGCCCGUCCGGCCGGGCCCCGGGGAGAGGCGGGCGUGCGGGCAUUGCGCCUGCGCGCGCCGGCCCCGCCCCCGGCCCCGCCCCGGCCGCGCGGGGCCCUGGGAGGGGUGCAGCGUCCGGCGGCUGCGGCGGCGGCGCGGGAGGGGCCGGGGGCGGACAAAGCCGAGGCCGAUGAAUGGGGCGCGUCCGCCUGCGCGGCCGUGGGGUCCCCGCGAGCAUAUUCGACAGGAGGCCCUGGUUCCUGCGUCCUGCGUAUCCUGGCUUGCGCCUGCUCACCCCAGACUCCGCUCCUCCCGCCCCCGCAGCCACAAGUCUGGCCUCUUGGUGACUGUUUGUGUCUCACAGGAUUUUAUUCUUAAAUAAAUGCUCAGCCUCAGGCCUGGUUAGGCAGACAGCAGAAGAAGGCAGACCGCAGGCCCCUUGUCCGUGGGAGCAGUGGGAUGGCCCAGGGAGGCAGAGACUCCGAGAAGGUAAGCAGGGCGCUCGGGGCAGGAGAGGCCGACGGAGAGGGUGUUUGGUCCUGUGACUGGGCUGUGAAGUCAGGAGCAAGCAGAGUCUCACCUGACCGUUGUGGGAUCUCUCUCACACAUACUGAGGCUGACGUAUCCAUGACUGGAUUUGAAACGUGAGCGAGUCCUUGUCUUACUCGGUUCCAUCUGUUGUAGGUGACGCAGAAGGAGCACCAUGCCAUCAAGCCACCAGCGUCCCUGUGCCCGAGACCAGCAGGUCCGCCCCGUGUGCGCGCACGUCUGCCCCGCGAUGCGUUUACCGGGAGAACUCCGGGAGCGGCGUGAGGUGACACGCUCACGAGUUCGCCCGUCCACUGCUCAGUGAGAUUCAUGCUUAGCGUAUUCAUAAACAUCCUGAGAGAGAGAGUUCUUCGG